rnacentral:rRNA from 1 species
GGCGGGGUAACGGCCCACCAAGGCGACGAUGCGUAGGGGUUCUGAGAGGAAGGUCCCCCACACUGGUACUGAGACACGGACCAGACUCCUACGGGAGGCAGCAGUGAGGAAUAUUGGUCAAUGGCCGCAGGGCUGAACCAGCCAAGUCGCGUGAGGGAUGACGGUCCUAUGGAUUGUAAACCUCUUUUGUCAGGGAGCAAAGGACGCCACGUGUGGCGUUUUGCGAGUACCUGAAGAAAAAGCAUCGGCUAACUCCGUGCCAGCAGCCGCGGUAAUACGGAGGAUGCGAGCGUUAUCCGGAUUUAUUGGGUUUAAAGGGUGCGCAGGCGGAAUGUCAAGUCAGCGGUAAAAUUUCGGGGCUCAACCCCGUCGUGCCGUUGAAACUGGCGUUCUUGAGUGAGCGAGAAGUAUGCGGAAUGCGUGGUGUAGCGGUGAAAUGCAUAGAUAUCACGCAGAACUCCGAUUGCGAAGGCAGCAUACCGGCGCUCAACUGACGCUCAUGCACGAAAGCGUGGGUAUCGAACAGGAUUAGAUACCCUGGUAGUCCACGCAGUAAACGAUGAAUACUAACUGUCCGGGCCGAUUGAGGUCUGG